rnacentral:rRNA from 1 species
GAUGAACGCUGGCGGCGUGCCUAAUACAUGCAAGUCGAGCGAACAGACGAGGAGCUUGCACCUCUGACGUUAGCGGCGGACGGGUGAGUAACACGUGGAUAACCUACCUAUAAGACUGGGAUAACUUCGGGAAACCGGAGCUAAUACCGGAUAAUAUAUUGAACCGCACGGUUCAAUAGUGAAAGACGGUUUUGCUGUCACUUAUAGAUGGAUCCGCGCCGCAUUAGCUAGUUGGUAAGGUAACGGCUUACCAAGGCGACGAUGCGUAGCCGACCUGAGAGGGUGAUCGGCCACACUAGAACUGAGACACGGUCCAGACUCCUACGGGAGGCAGCAGUAGGGAAUCUUCCGCAAUGGGCGAAAGCCUGACGGAGCAACGCCGCGUGAGUGAUGAAGGUCUUCGGAUCGUAAAACUCUGUUAUUAGGGAAGAACAAAUGUGUAAGUAACUAUGCACGUCUUGACGGUACCUAAUCAGAAAGCCACGGCUAACUACGUG